GACGAACGCUGGCGGCGUGCUUAACACAUGCAAGUCGAACGGAAAGGCCCUGCUUUUGUGGGGUGCUCGAGUGGCGAACGGGUGAGUAACACGUGAGUAACCUGUCCUUGACUUUGGGAUAACUUCAGGAAACUGGGGCUAAUAUCCGAUAUGAGCUCCUGAUGCAUGGUGGGGGAUGGAAAGUUUCGGUGGUUGUGGAUGGACUGGCGGGUUAUCCGCUUGUUGGUGGGGUAGGGGUGUACCAAGGGUUUGACGGGUAGCCGGCAUAAGAGGGUGAACGGGCACAUGGGGACUAAGAUAGGGCGCAGUCGCGUACGGGAGGCAACAGUGGGAAAUAUUGCACAGUGAGCGGAAGUCUGAUACGGAAGCGCCGCGUGCGGAAUGACGGCCUUCGGGGUGUGAACCGCUUUCGCCUGAGACGAAGCGUGAGUGACGGUAAUGGGUAAAGAAGCACCGGCUAACUACGUG
rnacentral:rRNA from 1 species